ensembl:snRNA U4 U4 spliceosomal RNA
AGCUUUGUACAGAGGCAGUAUCAUAGCCAAUGAGGUUUAUCUGAGGCACAAUUAUUGCUAGUUGAAACUAUAUAGUCCAGGCUAACCUUGAACUCAAAUCUGUCCUCCUGCCUCAGCCUCCUGAUUUCUGGGAUUACGGGUGUG